rnacentral:rRNA from 1 species
AGAGUUUGAUCAUGGCUCAGAUUGAACGCUGGCGGCAGGCCUAACACAUGCAAGUCGAACGGUAACAGGAAGCAGCUUGCUGCUUCGCUGACGAGUGGCGGACGGGUGAGUAAUGUCUGGGAAGCUGCCUGAUGGAGGGGGAUAACUACUGGAAACGGUAGCUAAUACCGCAUAAUGUCGCAAGACCAAAGAGGGGGACCUUCGGGCCUCUUGCCAUCGGAUGUGCCCAGAUGGGAUUAGCUUGUUGGUGGGGUAACGGCUCACCAAGGCGACGAUCCCUAGCUGGUCUGAGAGGAUGACCAGCCACACUGGAACUGAGACACGGUCCAGACUCCUACGGGAGGCAGCAGUGGGGAAUAUUGCACAAUGGGCGCAAGCCUGAUGCAGCCAUGCCGCGUGUAUGAAGAAGGCCUUCGGGUUGUAAAGUACUUUCAGCGGGGAGGAAGGGAGUAAAGUUAAUACCUUUGCUCAUUGACGUUACCCGCAGAAGAAGCACCGGCUAACUCCGUGCCAGCAGCCGCGGUAAUACGGAGGGUGCAAGCGUUAAUCGGAAUUACUGGGCGUAAAGCGCACGCAGGCGGUUUGUUAAGUCAGAUGUGAAAUCCCCAGGCUCAACCUGGGAACUGCAUCUGAUACUGGCAAGCUUGAGUCUCGUAGAGGGGGGUAGAAUUCCAGGUGUAGCGGUGAAAUGCGUAGAGAUCUGGAGGAAUACCGGUGGCGAAGGCGGCCCCCUGGACGAAGACUGACGCUCAGGUGCGAAAGCGUGGGGAGCAAACAGGAUUAGAUACCCUGGUAGUCCACGCCGUAAACGAUGUCGACUUGGAGGUUGUGCCCUUGAGGCGUGGCUUCCGGAGCUAACGCGUUAAGUCGACCGCCUGGGGAGUACGGCCGCAAGGUUAAAACUCAAAUGAAUUGACGGGGGCCCGCACAAGCGGUGGAGCAUGUGGUUUAAUUCGAUGCAACGCGAAGAACCUUACCUGGUCUUGACAUCCACGGAAGUUUUCAGAGAUGAGAAUGUGCCUUCGGGAACCGUGAGACAGGUGCUGCAUGGCUGUCGUCAGCUCGUGUUGUGAAAUGUUGGGUUAAGUCCCGCAACGAGCGCAACCCUUAUCCUUUGUUGCCAGCGGUCCGGCCGGGAACUCAAAGGAGACUGCCAGUGAUAAACUGGAGGAAGGUGGGGAUGACGUCAAGUCAUCAUGGCCCUUACGACCAGGGCUACACACGUGCUACAAUGGCGCAUACAAAGAGAAGCGACCUCGCGAGAGCAAGCGGACCUCAUAAAGUGCGUCGUAGUCCGGAUUGGAGUCUGCAACUCGACUCCAUGAAGUCGGAAUCGCUAGUAAUCGUGGAUCAGAAUGCCACGGUGAAUACGUUCCCGGGCCUUGUACACACCGCCCGUCACACCAUGGGAGUGGGUUGCAAAAGAAGUAGGUAGCUUAACCUUCGGGAGGGCGCUUACCACUUUGUGAUUCAUGACUGGGGUGAAGUCGUAACAAGGUAACCGUAGGGGAACCUGCGGUUG